GGAUCUGGGUUCUGUUGGACCCCAAAAGGUUCCGUGGAGCUCAGUGGGAUCCGUGGUCCCCGAUGGGUUCUGGGGACCCCAAAGGGUUUGAGGGCCCCUGAAGGGUUCCAGGGACCCCCCGCGUCCUGUGGACCCCAAAGGCUUCUCCAGAGCCCCAGGUUCUGCUCAGCCCCAAAGUGUUCCAGAGACCCCAAAAGGAUUUUAUGGACCCCAAAAGGAUUUUAUGGACCCCAAAGUGUUCCAGAGACCCCAAAAGGAUUUUAUGGAUCCCCCAAAAGGAUUUUAUGGACCCCAAAGUGUUCCAGAGACCCCAAAAGAAUUUUAUGGACCCCAAAAGGAUUUUAUGGAUCCCCCAAAGUGUUCCAGAGACCCCAAAAGGAUUUUAUGGAUCCCCCAAAAGGAUUUUAUGGACUCCAAAGGAUUUUGUGGACCCCAAAAGGAUUUUAUGGACUCCAAAGGAUUUUAAGGACCCCAAAAAGGAUUUUAAGGACCCCAAAAAGUUCUCCGGCCCCGAUGGAUUCUAUGGCCCCAAAGGGUUCGACAACCCCACAGCUCGAAGGUCACCGGGGUUUUAUGGCCCUGGGGUUUUAUGGCCCCGAGGUUUUAUGGCCCCCGGGGUUUUAUGGCCCCCGAGGUUUUAUGGCCCCGGGAUUUACACCCCGAUGCGUGAAAGUGCCUCCAUAAAGAUUUGGGAACUUUUAUGGCCUCGGUGCCUUCCUGGGACAGCGAGGGCGGGGUGGGAGCGGGGCGGGGGGAGAGAAAUGGGGGCGGUUCUGGGACCCCCAGGGACCCCCCUGAUCCUAUGGGACCCCCCUGAUCCUAUGGGACCCCCAGGG
rnacentral:lncRNA from 1 species